CUGCGAGUGAAGCGGGAAAAGCUCAAAUUUAAAAUCUGGCGGUCUCCGGCCGUCCGAGUGGCUAAUUUAGAGAAGCGUUAUCCGUGCUGGACUUUUUUAUAAGUCUCCUGGAAUGGAGCGUCAUAGAGGGUGAGAAUCCCGUCUUUGACACGGACUACCAGUGCAUUGUGAUGCGCUCUCGACGAGUCGAGUUGUUUGGGAAUGCAGCUCAAAAUGGGUGGUAAAUGCCAUCUAAAGCUAAAUAUUGGCGAGAGACCGAUAGCGAACAAGUACCGUGAGGGAAAGAUGAAAAGAACUUUGGAAAGAGAGUUAAACAGUACGUGAAAUUGUCGAAAGGGAAACGGUUGCAGUCAGUCGCGUCCGCCGGGGAUCAACCUUGCUUUUGCUUGGCGUAUUUCCCGGUGGAUGGGUCAGCAUCAGUUUUGACCGCAGUUGAAAGGCUGGAGGAAUGUGGCACCUUCGGGUGUGUUAUAGCCUCCUGUCAUAUGCUGCGGUUGGGACUGAGGAACUCAGCACGCCGCAAGGCCGGGAUUCGUCCACGUUCGUGCUUAGGAUGCUGGCAUAAUGUCUGUAACCGACCCGUCUUGAA
rnacentral:rRNA from 1 species